AGGUCCCAGGCUGUUUCUUUUUCUUUUAAAUUGAGGAGGAGUAAUAUUUCAUAAAGCCUUCAUUUCACAGGAAAGGGUUAAAAUUCCCGGACUCCCCGGACGGCUGCAAUCUCAGCCCAGGACUCUUUCUCUAGUCUCCCACGCUGGGCAUCUUCCCCCCCCCUUCUCCUUCUCCUCUGCCGGCAAACUCCUAGGUGUCUGCUGGCUCUCUAUCUCUUUUCCUUCUAGCUUAGGGGAGGGGGAGCAAAGACAUCCCAGAUGUUCUCUACCCUUCCAUCCGCAGGAGCUGGCCCAGCUGGUUCCGAUCCUUCACCCCCUGGCCUACCUCUGCAGGCCGCAUGGCUCCCCUUCCCCACCCAACCCGGGCUGGGGGGGGGAGGUCUGUACCGUGCGAUGACCGGAACCAAAGAAGAGUGAGUCUUCCUGGGAAUUCCGCUUUUAACCCCUCUGUGUUCUCAGAGGCGUGUCCACCUUCAAUUGGUCACCUUAAGUGUCAGUAUCCAAACCUGACCCCUGACCGAAUUGACCUCUUCCUUCUAAAAAAAAAUUCUCUUCCCAUGUCAAACCAUGACACUACUAAACUUCAAAAUGCAAUUCUGAAAUCAAGCUAUUCUCUAACUGCUAAUACUCAGUCCUCACCAUCAAAAUGUCAUGUGUGAGCAGUCCAGCAGAAAGUUGUUUUUAUGGCUUUAGCCUUGGCCAACCUGCCAACAACCUACCAAUCGAGAUUUAAUGGAUGUCUACCUGCUAGAGUCGGUUCUGCUCAGCUGCUUCAUGUAAAGCACUUCCUCUCCACUCUGCCUCUGUGCUUCUCUGAUUAUCUUUGAUCUGAGAGAGUACAAAAGAGUUACUAGCACUGGUCAGCAUGUAAAUCACAUGCCUCACUGAGAAACUAAAUACAUUUGAUUUGGUUUAUCUAAGACAAAAGUGUGAUUCACAAAAUACUCAUGUCCUCAGGGCUGGGGCAAACACCGUCUGCAGACAAAGGUGUUGGGAUGGUGUCUGUGGCUUUGAGCUGACUGUAGGCUGCAGAACACUCCAAAGUAAGCACACAUCUAAACACCCAGGGUGUUAGCUCAGGAUGUUGGUUGUGCUGCCUAAACUUGCUUUGAAAUACUCCAUACACCAUAUCUACUACCCCAGCUAUCCUAAGGGGUCAGGUAGAUGAAUGACAAAACCCAGGAAUGUCAGUAACCUCACCAAACCCUCCACAAACAAAACCGGAAAGCCCACAUGGCUGACUAAUGGGAAUAGCUGUUUAAUUUGUGAUUCAAAAUAAUAACAGGCCACCCAGGGGAAACAACAACAACAAAAAAAAAGCCAAACCAAAACAACAAUGAACAAACCACAAAAACCAAAUAGCAGACUGCUACGCUAGGAUAACCUGAAUAGGAAUUGCAUCAAGUUCCUCUUUGGAAAGACAUUGACCCCCUCCUUUGUAUACAGUGUGUGGUCACGAUGACUGAAAAUUGAAUAAUGCAUAACUUUUUUUUUUUUUUUAAAAAUGAGCCUGUGAUACAAGAUCAAUAUAAUGAGUACUUAAACACAUUCUAGACAGAACUCAGACUGAAGACAUAAUGAAAAAAUACCACCCAGUAGAAGUAAUAAUACAUCCUGUCAGUACUUGUAACAGUCCAAAAGCAAUUUAUUGACUAGAACCGUGAAGAAAAUAUUUCUGUUCAGUGAGAUCUUAUGUCAUUUUGAAAUGCAUUUGUAUUGCAAAAUAGCACAAGAGUUGAUGUUUUUUGUGAACCUUAAAAAUACUUAAAAAUGCUUGCAAAACUUGUGAAAUACCAAAAGGCUGUGUUUUCAUAUAGAUUAAUCUUUUCUGUUUAAAAAAAGAAGAGGAUACUUAAAAUGAACAUUGACGCAAUAUAAGAGAAAAUAAAGAACAUUUUAGCUUAAAAAGAAUGUUACAGUACAAAAGUACCAACGGAAUUAAAUGAAAGAGAAUGGAAAUUAAAUGUUUUAACCAAUUGAGAGAAACAAUUCAGCGUUACUUAAAUUACAUGAACAAACUAUUUGCUUCCAAACCCUCUGAUUGAAAAAGGCAUCAAGUUACAUAUGUGCCCAGGAAGUUUCUGCUUUCUGAAACUGCACUAUUCCACUGGAAAACCCUUGUUUUGACAUAUUUCUUAUUUGCAUAUAUAAAAUAUGGAGUCUGUUACUGCAAAAAAAAGGGCUCCACUGCUGUGUUCUUGGGUAAGCAAACUGGGGAUGACUGCAAGAGCCUCUGGUUUUGCAACUCUUAUCUGAACAAUGGAAGCUGGUAAAUGGUGAAAAACACCUUUCAAAAACGGUUCCUUUUAGGUCAAAGUACAAAUAGCUGUCAUGAGAUUCUCAGAUCAUUCCUGGGAAAUUUCCCUGCUUAGUUGAAUUUUGAGAGCUAGAGCAUUUUUAAUGGGUGUCACUGAGGCGAGUUGAUGGGGAUUUAGUAGCACCAAUCUUUGUGUCACUAAAAGUCUGUAUCAGUAGGUGGCCAUCCCAAAUUCCAAAUAUCAUUAAGCACAACACAGCCUAUCAACAGGCUUUCCUACAGUCUUGUACUUCCUUUUCCAACUCAUCAACUCAGGUGAGGCUUUUUGCAAAUGUCCAGUGACAUUGCAUUGAUGAAUCCAGUAUCUCACUGAUAGUUUUAGAUUGCUUUAUCCUACAGAGCUUCUGUCCACUUUAACACACAAGCAAAUGUCCUCUCAUUUGCCAAAAUAAUUUAAUUGUCAGCUAGGGCAGAUAAGGAUCUCAUUCUAAGCUGAAUGAAAACUUGCCACUGAAGACACCAAGGGGAAUUUUAAAACAAACACCAUUCCAAGUCUCUUCUACCCAUCAAAAGAUCAUUAUUUAACUUAGAAAACUCUAUGUGAUUAAAAGGUCAAGCUUAUAAAAGAGUUAAUAUUCUAAUGCUAUCAGCAGAGAACCUGUUGAGUUAAUGUCCAUCUUAGGUCACCAAGUCAAGUGUUCUGCCCUAUUAAUAUUUAUAGCCAAGCAACUGAGUGAAGAGAUUUGGCACCUACACAGUGCAUUAUUGGGCAUACACCCUGCAUGCAGAAAAUGGCAAAUAGCAUGACUGUUAAUUUACAUGGCAAAAAAACCCCAAGAUGUAGAGGGGACUGGCUACCACACACUUGUCCAAGAUGACUCUGACUCCCAUGAUGCUGGGAACUUGACUCAGCAAUCCUGGUGGCUGCCACUUCUGAGACAUAAGCUCUUAGCCAACAUGUAGCUCUGACCUGAAUGACAAAAAGGAGCUUCCACAUCUCCAGGCAUGUUUGGUGGAGAAGGGAUAGGAGAGAGGGGAUACUACAGCUCAUGGUACUACCAUGGAAAGACUGCAGGAGAGCAAAGGACAGUCAUGGUAGCAGACAAACAUGAUUACUAACACUGAUCCUUGUUUUCAGACUUUUUUACAUUGUAUUUUUAGCCCCAAAAGCUGUGUUUUUUUAAAGAUGCUAAUAAUACCUGCAUUUUCAUUUCUUGUAGAGAUAAGAGUAGAAAUGGUUCAUUCUAUUAUCAAAGGGACUCCAAACCAAAACCUUCAAAACCUUCAAAAUCUAAGUUGCAGCUUUUGUGCUCAAUGGAUAAAUCAUUCUUCUACUUUCUGUCUUCCUCUCUUAUUGAGUUUGUUUCUAUAGGAUCCUUCAGGUUUAAAACUGGAUUAAUGACUAAAGAACCUUCCUAUUUUUUUACCCUCUGUGAGACUUUUCAAUGUGUUUGUUGACCUUAAUUAAUCUUGUGAGGAUUUGUAAUACAUCUAUCUUGGGAUAAUUAAGUUCCAUUGUUUGAGGUGCUCUGUCUUAGUAACACUCUCUAUAAUUACUUCUGGAAUCAUACAUCUCCUGUGAACCUGACUUUUGUUUCAAUUUUGUUGCCUGUUUGAAAGCCAUUCAAAAAGAUCUUUGUAAACUGAGAAAUGAGAUGUUGUUAAAUGUAUAUUUUAAUCUCUUCUUGAUCAAAAUCACACAUUUCUAAAAAGGUUCUGUAUCUCUUUUGAUUUGCAGAAGUGUGUUGUGAUCAGCUAUGAUCUGCUACAGUACUAGAAUAUUAGCCAAACCACAUUUCUUACAAUAUGUCUCUAAACAAAUUUAUCAGGAUCCAGUGCAAAUACACUACAUCAAAGUUGAAAACUCUGAACAAGACUGUAGAGGGGCCUCAGUCACACACAAAGCAUUACUCUAUUCCCUCAAGAAGUGUGUGGAGGCAUAAAGCAGGGUCUUUCUGCCCCAGCUGAUUUCUCCUCCAGUCCUUUUUAAUUCAGCAAACAUGUGGCCCUGCAGCCUUUGCCUGCAGCAGCUCCCUUCUCCGUUUGGGCUGACGGCCCAGGAUGGGGAAAUCAAAAUUACAGCUUGAUUCCCAUCUGCUGCAGAGACCCACCUUCUCUCCCAGAAGCUGUCAAGUCUGGUGUUGCAUCCUGAAAUCCUGUGCUCCAUGAAUGUCAGUGAGGGAUCUAUCACUUCUUUGAUCAGCUCCCAUAUAGAAUAAUACAAUGUCAUACAUCCACAUAUACCAAAAAGUCAGAUCAAAUUAGAAAUUAAAAGUGUUCAAGUCCCCCUUUUUAUUUCUUGGUCUAGAACUUCAUAGUCUGUUUUGAAGGUUUGAAGGUUGUUGGAAUGUGAGCUGGAACAAAACUGUGCCCACCAGGGAAUGAGCUGACCUGAUCCCUUUAUGGGGUACACAUACACACAGAUGUAUAAAUGAGCCUGCCCAUACUCCAGACCCAAACCUCAGAAGCACUGUAGCACAAAGCUCAGUCUAUAUUUGCAGUUAAGGGUUAUGGAAAAAAAAAAAAAAAAA
rnacentral:lncRNA from 1 species